UUUUUAGGAGACAGAUGUUAAGGUGUCAUCAUGUUGGAAGUUAGAUAACUUAACUGAAAUAAAAUUAGCUGGGAGAAGAGCUCCUUUGACGUCUGUGCAAUGGUGGGAAACCCAUGAAGGGCAGCAUAUUGCCAUAAUAGGUAGUGAGCUGGGUGAAAUUUCAUUUAUUAAUCUCAUUAACAAAAAAGAAGUGGGUGGUACAUACAUAACCACCGGCAUAGCUGCUCUUGAUAUAUUGUAUGAUGAAAGCCAUGACACUACUUAUUUAUUGAUAACUGGACAUAAUCAGCAGCAGUGGCGCUUACUGUUAGAAGAAAAGAAAUCUAAUAUACAUUGGCCACUAACAUCUGAAAGUGAAGUAAGAAAAAGUGUCCCUGUUAUAGAAAAAACCCCACUUUCAG